rnacentral:rRNA from 1 species
UGAAUACGAGAUGCUACGGCAUCGAAGCAGUCUAUGUCAUACUUCCAAGAAAAGCUUGCACUGUCAUAAACAAAUAAUGCCUGUACCAUAACCGACACAGGUGGGUAGGUAGAGUAUACUAAGGGGCGCGAGAUAACUCUCUCUAAGGAACUCGGCAAAAUGACUCCGUAACUUCGGGAGAAGGAGUGCCUUAUUUUAUAAGGUUGCAAUAACAAGAUCCAAGCAACUGUUUACCAAAAACACAGGUCUCCGCUAAGUCGUAAGACGAUGUAUGGGGGCUGACGCCUGCCCAGUGCCAGAAGGUUAAAGAAGUUGGUUAGCGUUAGCGAAGCUGAUAACCGAAGCCCUGGUGAACGGCGGCCGUAACAAUAACGGUCCUAAGGUAGCGAAAUUCCUUGUCGGGUAAGUUCCGACCCGCACGAAAGGCGUAAUGAUUUGGAUACUGUCUCGGAGAGGGGCUCGGUGAAAUAGACUUGUCUGUGAAGAUGCGGACUACCUGCACCAGGACAGAAAGACCCUAUGAAGCUUUACUGUAACUUGAGAUUGAAAUUGGACUUUAUUUGCGCAGUAUAGGUGGGAGACGUUGAAAAUAUUCUUGCGGGAAUAUUGGAGUCAUCAGUGAGAUACCACUCUUAUAAUGUUAGAUUUCUAACUUUGUAUCAUUAUCUGGUCAAAGAACAGUCUCAGGCGGGCAGUUUGACUGGGGCGGUCGCCUCCCAAACGGUAACGGAGGCGCACAAAGGGUUCCUCUGAACGUGUAGAAAUCGUAUCUAGAGUGUAAAGGCAUAAGGAAGCUUGACUGUGAGACCUACAAGUCGAGCAGGGACGAAAGUCGGUCUUAGUGAUCUGACGGUGCUGAGUGGAAAGGCCGUCACUCAACGGAUAAAAGUUACUCUAGGAUAACAGGCUGAUCUCCCCCAAGAGUUCACAUCGACGGGGAGGUUUGGCACCUCGAUGUCGGCUCAUCGCAUACUGGGGCGGUAGUACGUCCCAAGGGUUGGGCUGUUCGCCCAUGAAAGCGGUACGCGAGCUGGGUUCAGAACGUCGUGAGACAGUUCGGUCCAUAUCCGGUGUAGGCGUUAGAAUAUUGAGAGGAGCCUUCUUUAGUACGAGAGGACCGAGAAGGACAUACUUCUGGUGUACCAGUUAUCGUGCCAACGGUAAACGCUGGGUAGCUAUGUAUGGAGAGGAUAACCGCUGAAAGCAUCUAAGUGGGAAGCCCACCUCAAGAUAAGUAUUC